CAACAUAAAUAUCGAUAACUCCACUGUCUCAUCAUCACUAAGAACAAAAACGCAAACAAUGGUAAAUACCUGCAAAUAUUGACGGGAAAAUCGGUUUAAUUUGGUGGCUAUUGAUGACCUAGCCAAGGAUUUGUUUUGCUGGAAAAGGAUACAGGCGCCGCGGAAACUGUUCUCUACCAGUCAUGUAUUGGUAGAGCUCGCAUGGUCACCUAAUCCUAAGGAGCUCCAGGGGAAAAGAAGGGACACGCAAAAAAGUUUUAGGCAAACAACGAGGACAAAUAAGGCUCUUGGGUCUAACUCCGGAUAAAUUCACAAACAGGGAAUCGAGGAUCAGCGGAAUCAAUGAGUUUAUCGGCCGAAACCACCUCUCGUCGUCGUCGCGAGACUAGACGCAUGCCGCUCAGCUGAUGCUCCGCAAAAAUCCGGUUCCGUGCCUCCAUAUAACGGCGAAGCCUCUCAUCCUCCGGCAG